rnacentral:rRNA from 1 species
CAUGCAAGUCGAACGAGAGAAGAGAAGCUUGCUUUUCUGAUCUAGUGGCGGACGGGUGAGUAACACGUGAGCAAUCUGCCUUUCAGAGGGGGAUACCGAUUGGAAACGAUCGUUAAUACCGCAUAAUAUAAUUGAACCGCAUGAUUUGAUUAUCAAAGAUUUAUCGCUGAAAGAUGAGCUCGCGUCUGAUUAGCUAGUUGGUAAGGUAACGGCUUACCAAGGCGACGAUCAGUAGCCGGACUGAGAGGUUGAUCGGCCACAUUGGGACUGAGACACGGCCCAGACUCCUACGGGAGGCAGCAGUGGGGAAUAUUGCACAAUGGAGGAAACUCUGAUGCAGCGAUGCCGCGUGAGGGAAGAAGGUUUUAGGAUUGUAAACCUCUGUCUUCAGGGACGAAAAAAGACGGUACCUGAGGAGGAAGCUCCGGCUAACUACGUGCCAGCAGCCGCGGUAAUACGUAGGGAGCGAGCGUUGUCCGGAAUUACUGGGUGUAAAGGGAGCGUAGGCGGGAUCGCAAGUCAGAUGUGAAAACUAUGGGCUUAACCCAUAAACUGCAUUUGAGACUGUGGUUCUUGAGUGAAGUAGAGGUAAGCGGAAUUCCUAGUGUAGCGGUGAAAUGCGUAGAUAUUAGGAGGAACAUCAGUGGCGAAGGCGGCUUACUGGGCUUUAACUGACGCUGAGGCUCGAAAGCGUGGGGAGCAAACAGGAUUAGAUACCCUGGUAGUCCACGCCGUAAACGAUGAUUACUAGGUGUGGGGGGGACUGACCCCUUCCGUGCCGCAGCAAACGCAAUAAGUAAUCCACCUGG